rnacentral:rRNA from 1 species
ACUCCUACGGGAGGCAGCAGUGGGGAAUAUUGCACAAUGGGGGAAACCCUGAUGCAGCCAUGCCGCGUGUGUGAAGAAGGCCUUCGGGUUGUAAAGCACUUUCAGUAGGGAGGAAGGUAGUGUAGUUAACACCUGCAUUAUUUGUACGUUACCUACAGAAGAAGCACCGGCUAACUCCGUGCCAGCAGCCGCGGUAAGUACGGAGGGUGCGAGCGUUAAUCGGAAUUACUGGGCGUAAAGCGCAUGCAGGCGGCCUGUUAAGUCAGAUGUGAAAGCCCGGGGCGUUAACCUCGGAAUUGCAUUUGAAACUGGCAGGCUAGAGUCGUUGUAAGAGGGGGUUAGAAUUUCAGGUUGUAGCGGUGAAAUGCGUAGAAGAUC